rnacentral:rRNA from 1 species
GUGCCAGCAGCCGCGGUAACACCGGCAGCUCUAGUGGUAGCAGUUUUUAUUGGGCCUAAAGCGUCCGUAGCCGGUUUAAUAAGUCUCUGGUGAAAUCCUGUAGCUUAACUGUGGGAAUUGCUGGAGAUACUAUUAGACUUGAGACCGGGAGAGGUUAGAGGUACUCCCAGGGUAGAGGUGAAAUUCUGUAAUCCUGGGAGGACCGCCUGUUGCGAAGGCGUCUAACUGGAACGGUUCUGACGGUGAGGGACGAAAGUUAGGGGCGCGAACCGGAUUAGAUACCCCCGUAGUCC